rnacentral:rRNA from 1 species
UACGUAGGGUGCAAGCGUUGUCCGGAAUUAUUGGGGCGUAAAGGGCUCGUAGGCGGUUUGUCGCGUCUGCUGUGAAACUCGGGGCUUAACUCCGGGCCUGCAGUGGGUACGGGCAGACUAGAGUGCGGUAGGGGAGACUGGAAUUCCUGGUGUAGCGGUGAAAUGCGCAGAUAUCAGGAAGAACACCCGUGGCGAAGGCGGCUCUCUGGGACGGUACUGACGCUGAGACGCGAAAGCGUGGGGAGCGAACAGG